AAAUUGAAGAGUUUGAUCAUGGCUCAGAUUGAACGCUGGCGGCAGGCCUAACACAUGCAAGUCGAGCGGUAGCACAGAGAGCUUGCUCUCGGGUGACGAGCGGCGGACGGGUGAGUAAUGUCUGGGAAACUGCCUGAUGGAGGGGGAUAACUACUGGAAACGGUAGCUAAUACCGCAUAACGUCGCAAGACCAAAGUGGGGGACCUUCGGGCCUCAUGCCAUCAGAUGUGCCCAGAUGGGAUUAGCUAGUAGGUGGGGUAAUGGCUCACCUAGGCGACGAUCCCUAGCUGGUCUGAGAGGAUGACCAGCCACACUGGAACUGAGACACGGUCCAGACUCCUACGGGAGGCAGCAGUGGGGAAUAUUGCACAAUGGGCGCAAGCCUGAUGCAGCCAUGCCGCGUGUGUGAAGAAGGCCUUCGGGUUGUAAAGCACUUUCAGCGGGGAGGAAGGCGUUAAGGUUAAUAACCUUG
rnacentral:rRNA from 2 species